rnacentral:tRNA from 2 species
GGAGAGAUGGCCGAGCGGUCUAAGGCGCCACGUUAAGGCCGUGGUCUCUUCGGAGGCGUGGGUUCGAAUCCCACUCUCUUCA